UUAUAUAUUGUAAAAACAACCUGAGGAUUGAUUAUAAAAAAAACGUUUGAAAUGUUUCUACGAACAUUACGGCUACUAUUUGGAAUUUUCGUCUGCGAUGUCGUUAACGCUCGAGCCUGUUGAUUUCUGAACAUAACGCGCCAACCAAAUGGAGGUAUUUUGGAUAUAAAAAUCAUCUUUAUGGAACAAAAGGAACACUUAUUGUGUAACUGGGAGUCUCCUGAGUGCAAACAUCCAAAGAUCAAAGUUUCCUCAGGGCAAUGACUAGAGGUCAUCAUUUGGUGACACUGCCCCGGUGUCCAGGCAGACCGAGGGAGAGAGACCCUCACCUCGGCUCCAGCCCCAUCCUCACCCGCCAGCAGCUCAUCUGCCUGAGGACACUCACGAGUUCAUGAGCACCUUGCUGGGUCAGAUGGCAUCUCUAGCCCCGGUGCUGCAGAAGGUGGCGGCAGCAAUGGAUGGGACCUACACCUGCCCGGUGGAGACCCACUUCGGGAUCCAAAUGCUCAGCACCAGGAUCUGCAGCAGGCUGUGGAAAGCAGACGACACCCAGCUGUCUACGGAAGUGGUGCCUGGUGGCUCAGUGAAAGCCAGCCUCCAGCUCUACCAAAGAAAUAAGUGGCACUCCAAUACAUUAAAUAGUGUUAAGAUGGUAGGAUACAGGUCAUGUCUAGUGCUUAAUCUAUUUUGAUAGUUUGGGCCAACCCUUAACUGCAUUGUUUUCGAAAGAAUUGCGCUUCCAUUUGGUUAUUUACAGUGUAAUGUGAAAUGUGUCAGAUUAGUGUUUCCUCUCUACAUACCUCCUCUGCUGUAGGAGGAAGAGCUGUCGUUUAGGUGUGACUGUAGGGGGAAGGCUUCUGGUCAGCGCUGGUCUUUCCAGUCCCUGUAACAGGUGGAUCCAAGUACAUGCUGGUCAGUCUACUGAGCCACAUCCGCUCCUCUACAUCCU